rnacentral:rRNA from 1 species
GUUGUAUAGUCAAGUAAUUAAGUGCAUGUGGUGGAUGCCUUGGCAGUCAGAGGCGAUGAAAGACGUGAUAGCCUGCGAAAAGCUCCGGGGAGGCGGCAAAUAUCCUUUGAUCCGGAGAUGUCUGAAUGGGGGAACCCACCUACUUUAAGGUAGGUAUUGCAACAUGAAUACAUAGUGUUGCAAGGCGAACGAGGGGAAGUGAAACAUCUCAGUACCCUUAGGAAAAGAAAUCAAUUGAGAUUCCCUCAGUAGCGGCGAGCGAACGGGGAUCAGCCCAUUAAGUUAUGUGUGUUUUAGUGGAACGCUCUGGGAAGUGCGAACGUAGAGGGUGAUAUUCCCGUACACGAAAGGGCACACAUAAUGAUGACGAGUAGGGCGAGGCACGUGAAACCUUGUCUGAAUAUGGGGGGACCAUCCUCCAAGGCUAAAUACUCCUGACUGACCGAUAGUGAACCAGUACCGUGAGGGAAAGGCGAAAAGAACCCCUGUGAGGGGAGUGAAAUAGAUCCUGAAACCGCAUGCAUACAAGCAGUGGGAGCACCUUCGUGGUGUGACUGCGUACCUUUUGUAUAAUGGGUCAGCGACUUAUAUUCAGUAGCGAGGUUAACCGUAUAGGGGAGCCGUAGAGAAAUCGAGUCUUAAUAGGGCGUUUAGUUGCUGGGUAUAGACCCGAAACCAGGCGAUCUAUCCAUGAGCAGGUUGAAGGUUGGGUAACACUAACUGGAGGACCGAACCCACUGUCGUUGAAAAGCCAGGGGAUGACUUGUGGAUAGGGGUGAAAGGCUAAUCAAGCCUGGUGAUAGCUGGUUCUCCCCGAAAGCUAUUUAGGUAGCGCCUCGGACGAAUACCAUAGGGGGUAGAGCACUGUUUCGGCUAGGGGGUCAUCCCGACUUACCAAACCGAUGCAAACUCCGAAUACCUAUGAGUACUAUCCGGGAGACAGACUGCGGGUGCUAACGUCCGUAGUCAAGAGGAAAACAAUCCAGACCGCCAGCUAAGGCCCCAAAAUCAUAGUUAAGUGGGAAACGAUGUGGGAAGGCAUAGACAGCUAGGAGGUUGGCUUAGAAGCAGCCACCCUUUAAAGAAAGCGUAAUAGCUCACUAGUCGAGUCGGCCUGCGCGGAAGAUGUAACGGGGCUAAAACUAUGUGCCGAAGCUGCGGAUNNNNNNNNNNNNNNNNNNNNNUUGACAUUAGUCAAGUGGUAGGGGAGCGUUCUGUAAGCCGAUGAAGGUGUAUUGAGAAGUAUGCUGGAGGUAUCAGAAGUGCGAAUGCUGACGUGAGUAACGACAAAACGGGUGAAAAACCCGUUCGCCGAAAGACCAAGGGUUCCAGUCCAACGUUAA